rnacentral:lncRNA from 1 species
GGAAGAAGCUGACCUGGAUAGAGAAUUUGCUGCUCUACCUUGUUACGAAAACGUCAGUCAGGUGAGCCAGACUGUGCUUUGCCAUAGAAUUUGUCUGCGUGUUUCCACCAGCCAGGACCCCUUCAGCCAAUGUAAAAACUCCCUGUAUAGACACGGACCCGGUCCAGGAGGGGAUGGAAGGUAAAGCAGGGGAGGUCGAUCCUCAGCUUUGAAGAGCAAACUUCUGGUUAUCUGGGCUGGUUAGAAUGCCUCCAGGAACCCACUUUUACAUUCUCUGGCUUCCCACAAUCUCAUCUUUUAGGUGUCAGCGUUCUGCCCUCCCUACUCUUCAUAUUACAACACUGGCAUCAGAAGUCACAAAAGUGACAAGAAGCCACACAUGGCAGGGUGGAUACUGGGGCAGCGGCGUAGGAGGAGUUUGGAGGCAUAUGUCUACCCAUAUACGCACAGCCUUCUGGAAGAACCUCACAUGCAGCAUGAAUAAUGGCGUACAGAUGGAACAAGUUCUGAGAAGCAUCACGGCUGUUUUGACAAGGCCAGCACAAGUCCACCGCAUCAAACGGACACUCAGUAUGAGCUGACCGGCUGCCGUGGCCCAGGAGCUCUUAAGAUGAGGGAGUGGCGCUUCCAGAAAAAGGACCAAAAGCGUGGUUUAUAUGUCGUGUUGCUUUAAACUCUCUGGAUCAGCUUUAAGCACCAGUUACAGUUUGUUUUUCUUUACAAACUCUUCAGACUUUGGAUUUUAUAUUCUGCUCCUUUUUUCCUUCUUUUCGAGGAGGGUGUGGAUGUUUUUUAAGGAACAUGGUUGCAGCAAAACAGAAAGGAUCCAAGAGUGGUUAGGGGCCUUGUCUAAUGCACUUCUGAAAGUCCAUUAUAAAGAUGGAUAGAAAAGCAAAUGGUCGGUUCUCAGUCGACCCGGAAACCACGCGCAGCUCUAAGAAACAUACUUGUGCAUAGUUAUUGAUUCAUUCAGAGCGUGAUAUGUUG